UACGGGGGGGGCAAGCGUUGUUCGGAAUUACUGGGCGUAAAGGGCGCGUAGGCGGCUCGCUAAGUUGGAUGUGAAAACUCUGGGCUUAACCCAGAGCCUGCAUUCAAAACUGACGGGCUAGAGUUCUGGAGGGGAUAGCGGAAUUCCUGGUGUAGCGGUGAAAUGCGUAGAUAUCGGGAGGAACACCAGUGGCGAAGGCGACUACCUGGCCUGUUCUUGACGCUGAGGCGCGAAAGCUAGGGUAGCAAACGGG
rnacentral:rRNA from 1 species